rnacentral:lncRNA from 1 species
UCAAAACUGAAAUCAAACCAAAUAAACAAAAAUAAGAUAAAAGAACCUAAAACCCAAUACGGCCCAAAUCAGAUGGCCUUAACCAAAAUAAAAUCUAGAUAUUUAUAAUGAAUGUUCUAGAAUCAGUCAUUAAAGCACCGACCCAUUGCCCAAUCAGAAGAAGCAUGGGAAACCGUCUUCAGUCUUUUCUGUCACUCCUUUCAUAAUGACGAUUUCAUUUCCAAGGUAAGCCAAAAGAAAUCAGUCCGUUUUAUUUUCUUGUUCAAAGCCUUUCAUUCUUCAUUUUUCUUCUCUGGAGACUUCUUCUUCACUUCCCCCAUCCAGCCGAGCUUGAUCCAUUUGCAUAAUCUGGAACUCCCCUAUCCAGGUAAAACUCUUCUCCUCUUCUCAAUGAUUCUGUUGCUAUGAUAUGAGCAAGACCAUUUGCGGAUCUAGGUAUAUACUGAAAUCUGAUGUUUUCAAGUCCAUAGAUUUCCUGUUGAAUGUCAAAAAUGUAUACUUCCACCAUAGAUCUAUCUUGACUCUUCGAUUUACAUUUUUUGACUAUUGUGAGGGAGUCUCCUUCAAGGAUCAAAUGUCGCCAUCCCCUCCUGAUUCCCAUUUGAACGCCUUUCCGGCAGGCAAUUGCUUCAGCAGCAAAGGCUGAUGGAAUACCAAAAUGAAUCUCUGAAUAUGAAAAAAGAAUAGUACCAUUCGAAUCUCUGGCCACAAUACCCACACCCGACUGAUUCUUUACUUUAUCGUAAGCACCAUCAAAGUUGAUCUUCAUGAAACUUUCCUGUGGUGGCGACCAUCUCUUUUUCUCUAAGGUACGGUUCAGAUCUCUCUUCUCAAGACUAUCAAUUUCUUUGAUGUAACUGAUUAUAAGAUUUGCAACUUCCGUCCCCUUUCUAAUUUUACCUUCAUGUAUUCUUUUGUUUCUGUCACCCCAUAUUGCCCAGAGUGCACAACAAAAUACGCGACUUUGAUCAAGGUUGAGCUGCUCUAUUGCCCAGGUAAUCCACUGUACAAAAUCUUCACAAUGAUUCCUUAAAAUGCACUGAAACGAUAAUGAUCUCCAUACCUCCCUUGUAAUAUGACAGUAACGAAAUAAGUGGUUCAUUGGUUCAGCUUCUUCUCCACAUCGGGGACAGCUCGGAUUUACUACUAACUUCCGAUGUUGAAGAUUCACCUUUGUAGGCAGAUAAUUCCAAGAUAGCUUCCAUAUUGUAACCUUAAUUUUAGCUGGUAGAUUCAGGCACCAUAGUUUUUUAUAAAAAUUCCCAUAGAUGGUCUGUAAAGCAUAAGCUCUAGGAUUGUCAGUCAAUUUUUGUAAUAGUUGAUAGGCACUUCUGACCGUAAACUCACCCGACCGUUCGCCUCCCCAGAUAAGAAAAUCAUCAUGCGGUGUUUGUGCCAGAGGGAUUCUGAGGAUUCUAGCUGCGUCGUCUUCCAGGAAGGUACUAGUAAUCAACUCUUUUUUCCAACUUCUGGUAUUAUUAUCAAUCAACUCGCCAACUUUAACAUCACGCAAAAAAUUAAUAUCUGAUGAUAAUCUAAAAUUAACAGAAUCUGGAAUCCAAGCAUCGCUUAUGCAAAUAUUAGUACCCGUCCCCACCCUUCAACAAUGCCCUUUUUCCAAUAAGUCCUUUGCUGCCCAAAUACUUUUCCAUACAUACGAACUAGAAUUUCCUAACCUGAAAUUUAAGAAAUUAUCAUCCGAAAAAUACUUAGCUUUAAACACUUUCGUUACAAGCGCAUUCUGAUUAUUCAUAAUCCUCCACCCUUGCUUAGCCAAUAGAGCUACAUUGAACUGUGCCAUAUUUCGGAAGCCCAUACCACCCUCUUCUUUAGGCCUACACAUAAAUUCCCAUUGACACCAUUGAAUUCCUUUCUUUCCUUUCCCUUUCUGCCACCAAAAUCUAGCAACUAAAUUGUCAAACUCAUCACAAAGCGAUUUUGGUAAUAGAAAACAUGUCAUAGCAUAAGUAGGAAUUGCCUGAAGAACUGAUUUAAUAAAAACCUCUCUACCCCCUUGAGAGAAGAAGCGAGUACUCCAAUUAUCAAUUCUUUGCUUUAUUCUGUCUUUGAGAUUCUGAAACGAUUCUUUUUUCUUCCGGCCUACAAUAUUUGGCAAUCCAAGAUAUUUUUCCAUAUUGUUCGAAAAUCUUAUUCCCAUAUCAGCUGAUAACCUGCCUUUAUCCCCCUCCUUCAAAUUCGAACUAAAAAAGAUCAUUGAUUUAUUAAAGUUAACGCAUUGACCAGAGCAACUCUCAUAUUCUUUCAAAAUAGCUUUGAAGUUCCUUGCACUACUUUCUGUGGCUUCACCAAACAAAAUACAAUCGUCUGCGAAUAACAAGUGCGAUAUUAUCGGGCCUCUUCUGCUGGCUCUCACCCUUUUAAUCAAUCCCUCUUUUGUAGCAUUCCUGAUUAACGACGAUAAACCUUCAUUGCAAAUAAGAAAUAGAAAAGGGCUAAGUGGGUCACCCUGUCUGAGUCCUCUGGUUGGUUCAAAGACUCUACCAUUCCUCCCGUUCGUAGUAACAACAUAAGAGACUGUAGAAAUACAUCUCAUUAUAAGUACCACCCAUUCCUUCGCAAAACCCAUCCGUAUCAUAACUUCCUUCAAGAAAGCCCAUUCCACCCUAUCGUAAGCUUUACUCAUGUCAAGCUUAAUUGCCAUAAAACCUUUCUUCCCCUUACGUUUUUUCCGAAGAGUAUGCAGAAUUUCAUAAGCUAUCAAAAUAUUGUCUGAAAUUAGCCUCCCUGGGACAAAUGCACUUUGAGCACUAUCAAUGCAUCUCCCGAUGACUUCUUGAAAACGAUUGGCAAUAGCUUUAGCAAUAAUUUUAUAAAGAACUGUGCAUAAACUAAUUGGUCUAAAAUCUGCAAGGUUUGUAGGAUUGGAUUUCUUCGGAAUAAGGGUAAUCUUAGUUACAUUUAACUCUUCCACGUCUUUUCCAUUAUUUAAAACUUCUAAACAAAAAUUCCCAAUAUCUUCGCCCACUAUAUCCCAGUAUUUUUGAAAGAAUAGAGCCGGGAAGCCAUCAUAACCUGGAGCUUUUGUUGAACCCAUUCCCUUCACUGCAAUAUAAAUCUCCUCUAACGUAAAUUUUUUCAAUAGGGUUGCAUUGAUAUCCGAAGAGAUGCAAUUCUGAAUACCUGUUAGAAGAUGAGAAGGAUCUCUAACGCCUGUAGUCGAGAAAAGCUUUUGAAAAUACUGCGUCGCCAACUCAUUAAUUUUAAACUCCUCAGUAAUUCCUCUCCCAUCAUCAUUAUCAAGCCUGCUAAUUGUAUUAAUUUUUCUCCGCAUUGAUGCAUAUUUAUGAAAAAAUUCUGUAUUUUUAUCCCCCAACUUUAGCCAAUUAGCUCGUGCUCUCUGUUCCCAAUACAUCUCCUCCUUCUCGAUUUCCAUGCUCAAAUGAAUUCUUUUAUUAAUUAUCUGGUUCAUAACAUCUUCAUCAGGUUCCUUCUUCAUUAAAUCUUCAACCUCUUUUGUAGUUCUUUCUGUCAUUCCCUUCCGUUGCCUUCUAAUAGAUUUAGCCCAUUUCGAUAAGCUAAUCUGCAAGUUCUCAAGAUUUUCCAAAACCGAUCCAUUUUGUGACUUCCAGGCUUCCCGAAUUUCUUUCUCUAUUGACUCCUCUGUAGUCCACCAGGCUUCAAAUUUAUAACUUGGAACUGUCUUGAAACUGUUUAAAUUAAUUGUGCUUAUUAACAAAGGACAAUGAUCCGAAAGGGUAGACAUCAGAUGAUUAAUAUUGCCCGUUGGAAAUAACUCCAUCCAUUUUUCGUUUGCAACACCUCUAUCCAAUCUUUCCCAUAAUUCGUCUCUGGUAAAUUCCCUCUCUCCCAUGUAUACCAUACUCCUGAAUAUCCCAAGUCUAAAAAGUGACAUUCUUGUAGAGUUUCCCGAAACGCUGCCAUCUUUCUUUCAUCCAUCGGUUGACCUCUUUUUUUUCAAAAGAAUAAGCUAUUUCAUUGAAAUCUCCACUCACUAACCAAGGAUACUCUUGCUCCUGUCCCAAGAUCUUUAAUAAAUCCCAUGAAGCAUUUUUAUCUUGUGAGUAGGGAGAGCCAUAGAACCCUGUGAAUCUCCAAUCGCCAUGAGCACCUUCUCCUUUAACCAGCACAUCAAUAUGACUUAUUGACAAAGAUCUAAGGUGAAUCUGAACCUCCUCUCGCCAUGCUAAACAAAUACCACCCUGCGUACCAGUAGCUCCUACUUCAAGUCCAUUCAUGAAACCACACAUUCUUCUAAUUGCUUCCAUACGUUUUCCACUUACUUUAGUCUCCAUUAAGAAGACAAAUUGAGGAUUAUUUUGCUUCAGUAAAAAUCGAAGCUUCCUUACUGCCCGUGGACUCCCCAAUCCACGGACAUUCCAACAUAUGAUUUUCAUUGUGCCCGGUCGGCUUGCCCAUUGGCAGCCGCCGAUCCUGUCUGGUUGGAAAAUUCUAUUUGUAAAUUAAUUUCAUCCUUCGAAGUUAGAUCCUGUUCAGCACGUUUUGUCCUUUUUAGAUUCUCUUCUCGAAUCUCCUUUACCCCAUCUUCAUCUUGCACUAAUUCUGCCAAUUUCCUUUUUUGCAAUUUACGAUCAGCCUCAUGGUUCUCCUUCCCUCCCACUAUUUUCCUUCUUUUCCAACUAACUUUCCUGGCUAAAACUAGAUUACUGACAGUACUAUCUACAUUACCUCCUUCAUUGAUACCUGCUUCCUUGUGUAAUUCAAGAUCUGCAACAGCUGAUGCCAAACAAGAACUAUCCUGGAUCCCUCCCACUAAACCACUACUUUGCUCCAUGUACUGAUAUUCUUCCUGGUUCUUUGUAAUGCCUCCAACAUAAGAGCAUUGUGGUUGUGAUUUUUUCAAUAAAGCAUUAAACUUUAAACUCUCCCUUCCCACUAACUUUGAUUCUGCUUUUAAUGCUAAAGAAAAAGGUAGAUCCACUUUAAUUCUGUUUUUCUCUACAGGAGUAAAUUCCGAGCAAUCGUGGAUGCCAUGCCCUAACUUGCCACAUCCAAAACA